UACUUUUUAAUGACAAUCAUAUUAAGAAUUUAAAAGAAAACAAAAAUAUCUCAAAUUCCCGAUAUCAAAAUUAUAUUAUCUUCUUCUUUUUUGUUUAGACCAUUUUUCAGGUCCGUCUCUAACUCAUGGCAGUGUAUGACAAAUGCAAUGAGUCCAUUACAAAAUUCAGAAAAAUUCUUAAAGGAAAAA
rnacentral:sRNA from 1 species